rnacentral:RNase_P_RNA from 1 species
UCAGGUGACUGGGUGAUCGCUGUUUAUUCAGAGGAAAGUCCGGGCUCCAUGCAAACAGGGUGCCGGAUAACGUCCGGCGGGGCUUGCUUUUAGCAGGUUUUAGGGAAAGUGCCACAGAAAAUAGACCGCUUGUAACAGAGUAAGGGUGAAAAGGUGUGGUAAGAGCGCACCGCGCGUUUGGUAACAGGCGUGGCAGGGUAAACCCCACCCGGAGCAAGACCAAAUAGGAACAAGUUAUUAUUGUACCGCAAGGCACAAUAAUACGGUGGGUUUGCACGCCGUUGUUCGGGUAGGUCGCUAGAGGUGAUUGGUAACAAUCAUCCCAGAUGAAUGAUCAUCCAAGGAUUUUAUCCUGGACAAAACCCGGCUUAUAGGUCACCUGAAUAU